rnacentral:tRNA from 1 species
GUCCUGAUAGUAUAANUAUUACGCUGGUCUUGUAAACCAGUAAUGNAAAAAACCCAUUUUCUCAGGACA